UGGGGAAUAUUGCACAAUUGGCGCAAGCCUGAUGCAGCCAUGCCGCGUGUGUGAAGAAGGCCUUCGGGUUGUAAAGUACUUUCAGCGGGGAGGAAGGGAGUAAAGUUAAUACCUUUGCCCAUUGACGUUACCCGCAGAAGAAGCACCGGCUAACUCCGUGCCAGCAGCCGCGGUAAUACGGAGGGUGCAAGCGUUAAUCGGAAUUACUGGGCGUAAAGCGCACGCAGGCGGUUUGUUAAGUCAAAUGUGAAAUCCCCGGGCUCAACCUGGGAACUGCAUCUGAUACUGGCAAGCUUGAGUCUCGUAGAGGGGGGUAGAAUUCCAGGUGUAGCGGUGAAAUGCGUGGGGGUCUGGAGGAAGACCGGUGGCGAAGGCGGCCCCCUGGACGAAGACUGACGCUCAGGUGCGAAAGCAUGGGGAGCAAACAGG
rnacentral:rRNA from 1 species